GAUGAACGCUGGCGGCGUGCCUAAUACACGCAAGUCGAGCGAAUGGAUUAAGAGCUUGCUCUUAUGAAGUUAGCGGCGGACGGGUGAGUAACACGUGGGUAACCUGCCCAUAAGACUGGGAUAACUCCGGGAAACCGGGGCUAAUACCGGAUAACAUUUUGAACCGCAUGGUUCGAAAUUGAAAGGCGGCUUCGGCUGUCACUUAUGGAUGGACCCGCGUCGCAUUAGCUAGUUGGUGGGGUAACGGCUCACCAAGGCAACGAUGCGUAGCCGACCUGAGAGGGUGAUCGGCCACACUGGGACUGAGACACGGCCCAGACUCCUACGGGAGGCAGCAGUAGGGAAUCUUCCGCAAUGGACGAAAGUCUGACGGAGCAACGCCGCGUGAGUGAUGAAGGCUUUCGGGUCGUAAAACUCUGUUGUUAGGGAAGAACAAGUGCUAGUUGAAUAAGCUGGCACCUUGACGGUACCUAACCAGAAAGCCACGGCUAACUACGUGCCAGCAGCCGCCGCAG
rnacentral:rRNA from 1 species